UACGGAGGAUGCAAGCGUUAUCCGGAAUGAUUGGGCGUAAAGCGUCCGCAGGUGGCAAUGUAAGUCUGCUGUCAAAGCGUCUGGCUCAACCAGAUAAAGGCAGUGGAAACUACAUAGCUAGAGUAAGGUAGGGGUAGAGGGAAUUCCUGGUGUAGCGGUGAAAUGCGUAGAGAUCAGGAAGAACACCGGUGGCGAAAGCGCUCUGCUGGACCUGCACUGACACUGAGGGACGAAAGCGAGGGGAGCGAAAGGG
rnacentral:rRNA from 1 species